rnacentral:rRNA from 1 species
AAGACCUUGCACUUUUGGAGCGGCCGAUGUCUGAUUAGCUAGUUGGUGGGGUAAUGGCCUACCAAAGCUUCGAUCAGUAGCUGGUCUGAGAGGACGGCCAGCCACACUGGGACUGAGACACGGCCCAGACUCCUACGGGAGGCAGCAGUGGGGAAUUUUGGACAAUGGGCGCAAGCCUGAUCCAGCCAUGCCGCGUGAGUGAAGAAGGCCUUCGGGUUGUAAAGCUCUUUCAGCCGGGAAGAAAAGGUUGCGACUAGUAAUCGCAAUUCAUGACGGUACCGAAAGAAGAAGCACCGGCUAACUACGUGCCAGCAGCCGCGGUAAUACGUAGGGUGCGAGCGUUAAUCGGAAUUACUGGGCGUAAAGGGUGCGCAGGCGGUUUUGUAAGUCAGAUGUGAAAUCCCCGGGCUUAACCUGGGAAACU